UCAUAUUUUCAUAUGUUAUUCUGCAUAAAUAUCAAAUUCAAAAGUUCAUCAGAACAAACAUAACUUCAAUUUUUCAAAACAUAAUAAAACACCAACGGUCCAGAGCCGAAAAAGGUAAAAAUCCCAUUUACAUGCUAUAGGAUAAAACAGUAAAACUUCUUCACAUGCCCUGAUCAUGUUGAACACUUCAUUCAGUCUUUGUUUACAAUUUAGCCUACACAAUCAAUCUAAACAGUUUUCCAACCCAUGCAGUACUUAUAAACUAUUAAACUCUCUUACGCUCU
rnacentral:lncRNA from 1 species